rnacentral:misc_RNA from 1 species
GAAAUGCGAUAAGUAAUGUGAAUUGCAGAAUUCAGUGAAUCAUCGAAUCUUUGAACGCACCUUGCGCCCUUUGGUAUUCCGAAGGGCAUGCCUGUUUGAGUGUCAUGAAACCUCACUCCACUUGGGUUUUUGCCUGAGUGGUAGUGUAUUGGGUGUUGCCUUGCCAAAGGCUCGCCUUAAAAGAAUAAGCACCUUGGAUGUAAUACGUUUCAUCCUUUCGGGUGGCUAAUAACCCCACAUAACUCAUGAUCUGGCCUCAAAUCAGGUAGGGCUACCCGCUGAACUUAA